GACGAACGCUGGCGGCGUGCUUAACACAUGCAAGUCGAACGGAAAGGCCCUGCUUUUGUUGGGUGCUCGAGUGGCGAACGGGUGAGUAACACGUGUGUAACCUGCCCUUGACUUUGGGAUAACUUCAGGAAACUGGGGCUAAUACCUGAUAGGAUCUCCUGCUGCAUGGUGGGGGUUGGAAAGUUUCGGCGGUUGGGGAUGGACUCGAGUCUUAUCAGCUUGUUGGUGGGGUAGUGGCUUACCAAGGCUUUGACGGGUAGCCGGCCUGAGAGGGUGACCGGCGACAAUGGGACUGAGAUACGGACCAGACUACUACGGGAGGCAGCAGUGGGGAAUAUUGCAAAAUGGGAGGAAGCAUGAUGCAGCAACGCAGCGUGCGGGAUGACGGCCUUCGGGUUGUAAAACGAUUUCGAAUGAGACGAAGAGUGAGUGACGGUAAUGGGUAAAGAAGCACCGGCUAACUACGUG
rnacentral:rRNA from 1 species